AGACCUGGCAGGGGAGACACCAUAAUCAGGAAGGUGGUUUUCCCAGGGCGAGGCUCACCCAUUGCACUGCGGGUGUGUUGACCCCUGCGAUUUCCCCAAAUGCAGGGAAACUCGACUGCGUAACUUAUGGUAGUGGGGGACUGCGUCGUCCGCGCUCUCCCCUG